GAUGAACGCUGGCGGCGUGCCUAAUACAUGCAAGUCGAGCGAACGGACGAGAAGCUUGCUUCUCUGAUGUUAGCGGCGGACGGGUGAGUAACACGUGGAUAACCUACCUAUAAGACUGGGAUAACUUCGGGAAACCGGAGCUAAUACCGGAUGAUAUUUUGAACCGCAUGGUUCAAAAGUGAAAGACGGUCUUGCUGUCACUUAUAGAUGGAUCCGUGCUGCAUUAGCUAGUUGGUAAGGUAACGGCUUACCAAGGCAACGAUGCAUAGCCGACCUGAGAGGGUGAUCGGCCACACUGGAACUGAGACACGGUCCAGACUCCUACGGGAGGCAGCAGUAGGGAAUCUUCCGCAAUGGGCGAAAGCCUGACGGAGCAACGCCGCGUGAGUGAUGAAGGUCUUCGGAUCGUAAAACUCUGUUAUUAGGGAAGAACAUAUGUGUAAGUAACUGUGCACAUCUUGACGGUACCUAAUCAGAAAGCAACGGCUAACUACGUG
rnacentral:rRNA from 1 species